AGAGAUCUUGGAAUAGACUAGGUUUCUAUGAGCCAAGAAGUCAGCCGAAGUCAUAGUAGCUGGAGAAACGAGCAGGGACUGCCAAAACCAUAUCUCUGAUGGUCUCAUGGAACAGUGAAGGAC
rfam:Belliella pelovolcani strain DSM 46698 genome assembly, contig: Ga0111625_104